rnacentral:rRNA from 1 species
UACGUAGGGACCAAGCGUUGUUCGGAUUUACUGGGCGUAAAGGGCGCGUAGGCGGCAAUUCAAGUCAGCUGUGAAAUCUCCGAGCUUAACUCGGAACGGUCAGCUGAUACUGCUUUGCUAGAGUGCAGAAAGGGCAAUCGGAAUUCUUGGUGUAGCGGUGAAAUGCGUAGAUAUCAAGAGGAACACCUGAGGCGAAGGCGGGUUGCUAGGCUGACACUGACGCUGAGGCGCGAAAGCUAGGGUAGCAAACGGG